UAAUUCUAGAUGUUUAAAUGCUGCGUGCCUUUUGAAUUGAUAUGAUUUCAACGCGCGUGCGCGUGCGCGUGCGAGUCGCAUUCAAAGUUGUCCGAUUCAAAGACAGGAGCGCACGCGAGCAGAUGGAAACCAUGGAAACGAGGAAACCUCUUCAACUGACAAACAGCAAAAAUAGCGUCUCUCUGUUUUUCCACUGCUUUCAGAAAAGGUUUUGAGUCUUCGAAAAAGUCCGUUAGCAUCUCAACUGUUUUCAGAAUAGUCUAGAAAAUCAUCAUGAUGUCCUGCUACAGCCCUGUCCCAAGACAACCUCCACGGCUAUGAACUCGACUAAUGAGAUAUCAUUUGACCCUGUGAUUCUUCAGGACCAGAUCUUGAUGCCAUCCACACCCAGUACAUGACAAAGAUGCUGUGACAAAAAGCAGUCAAGCCACUGCAUGUGAUGUGGAAGCCUCUAUGAAGACAUGGCUCCGUAAUCCCUGGGACAGAGAUGGGGGACGGCAAGGAAGGGCCAGAACUGCAGAAAUACCUACUGUUUCCCCUGAGGGGAUUGAUUUUUAAUUUUCAAUCCCCUGUUUUCUGUGGUUAUUGCUGUUUUAAACUGUAUUAUCAUUAAUUAUAAUUAUUAUUAAAUAUAAAUAAAUUAUUUGGGGAAAAAACAUGACCCUUG